CACGUAGGGCGCAAGCGUUGUCCGGAAUUACUGGGCGUAAAGGGCUCGUAGGUGGCCAACUAAGUCAGACGUGAAAUCCCUCGGCUUAACCUGGGAACUGCGUCUGAUACUGGAGGGCUUGAGUGCGGGAGAGGGAUGUGGAAUUCCAGGUGUAGCGGUGAAAUGCGUAGAUAUCGGAAGGAACACCUGUGGCGAAAGCGGCUCACUGGACCAUUACUGACGCUGAGGCACGAAAGCUAGGGGAGCAAACAGG
rnacentral:rRNA from 1 species